GUUUUAAAAGAAUAAAAUUAAAUUAAAUGUGCAAAAGUGCCGUGGAACGAAUUUUAAUUAAGAUCACUGGUGGCAGAAUAUAUUAAAAAAUAAUAAAAAUAUAAAAGCGGGUUUGAAUACGAUACACUUAAAGUUUUUUCAGUGGAUAAAAGUAUCUGUAUUUGCGGGGAAAGAAAACAAGGAGGCAUUUUGAGUUAGUGAAGUAGUCGGUCGGUUGAUUAAUUGGCUUUCAGCGUGUACCGUACCUUUUCAUAUUGUCCGCUAUAUCAAUAAUCGGUUUCCUUUUCUAUCGUGUGUGAGCGGGAGAACUGUUGUUGAGUUUUAAGUACAACAGUGUUGCCGCUGUCGGAGAAAAUAAAGAUGGAGGAGGAUAGAAAUAAAAUGAGCAGUUCCGAAGAAGUCUCUUGGGUAACAUGGUUUUGUGGGCUGCGCGGCAAUGAAUUCUUUUGUGAGGUUGAUGAGGAUUAUAUACAAGAUAAAUUUAAUUUAACCGGAUUAAAUGAACAAGUUCCCAAUUAUAGAAAUGCUCUUGAUAUGAUCCUUGAUCUCGAGCCAGAAGACGAUCUGGAAGAGAAUCAACUGCAAUCAGAUAUGACGGAACAGGCAGCAGAAAUGCUGUAUGGCUUGAUACAUGCCCGAUACAUUUUGACAAAUCGCGGAAUUGCGCAAAUGAUCGAAAAAUACCAAACUGGUGAUUUUGGACAUUGCCCACGUGUAUAUUGUGAAAGCCAGCCCAUGUUACCUUUAGGUCUAUCAGAUAUACCUGGUGAGGCUAUGGUAAAAACCUAUUGCCCUAAAUGUAUUGAUGUAUAUACGCCAAAAUCGUCGCGUCAUCAUCACACGGAUGGUGCUUACUUUGGCACGGGAUUUCCACACAUGUUAUUCAUGGUUCAUCCUGAAUAUCGUCCUAAGCGGCCGACUAAUCAAUUUGUUCCAAGACUUUAUGGCUUCAAAAUUCAUAGCUUAGCUUAUCAAAUUCAACUACAGGCAGCAGCCACCGUUAAAAUGCCACUUCGAGCGAAAAAUUAAUAAAAAUUAAGAAAUACAAACCACAAAAACAACUCAAGCAAACUUAAAAAUGUAGAGAUCAUGAUGAAAGUUCGUUUUGUUUAAGAAAUAAAUUGAAAGGCAGCCAAAAACACACACAAACAACAUUAGAAACUGAGAUACAAUAACUAAUCAGCACAAAAUGUAUUGAAUUUUCCACGGAAAUCGUCUUCACUAUAUAUGCGAUACACAAAACAUACACACAUUAACUUUCACAGUCAACCAACCUACAUUUGCUAAUGUAUUGAAGUUUUGUAUUGUUAACGCAUGUCAUAAAACACUACUUAGACAUAUUUUUCAUUUCAUCCAAUUCUUCCCAACACAAAUGGCAUCAUAAAAGUGACGAAAUUCAAUACAAUAUCGAAGCUUUUUCUAAUACGCCGUAUUUUUUAUUUUUAUAUAUAUAAAACUCCUCUGGUAGGAAUGAGAUAAACAUUCACAGAUUCACAUCAACUUGCAUUCUGUUAAUGUAGCUUUGAAUGAUGAAUAAAUUUUAAUAUUCAAAAAUAAUCAUUUUGUAUACACGCUCUUAAUUGAAAGUGAACUUAAUUGAAACUAAAAACAUAAGUUGAUAUAAUUUCAAUAAGUCAAAAGUGAACGAUUUUUAUUAAGCUAUCAUAUAGAAGUCCGGAAAAUUAUAGGUUAAAUAGUGUAGUAGUCAUGAUUUUCAGUCUAUAAUCUGUUUAAAAACAUUUGUAUUAUUAUAUACUAAAAAAAUAUAUAUACAAUUAAAAUAACUCCGUUUAAAUAAACAUGGAAUGUUUCGCAUCGAUACAUUAGGAUAAAAUCCACUCACCUUUUACUUGUACUUACUUAAUGAUAUAAGCUUCUUUUAAUGCAUGGAAUUUUAAUGUAAAAAUUACGUUUUCGCUGUUAGCCAAUCGUAUAAAGUGGAUAUACAUAGUUAACAUUGAUGGAGAAAUGGUGUCAUUUCAUGCCUCAUGAAUAUGAGUUCUUCAAUUAUUAAAUUUGUUACUGCCAGUGAUAAGAGAUUUAUUAUUUUUUCGAGCAAAAUUUUUCACACAUAGUUUAUAGGUGACAACCAGUUUUAACUUAGACCCAACGAAAAUACCAUAAAAUCGUAUUUUCAUUUUCAAGGAAACAGAUAGAACCAAUAUCUACCAAGAACACAACAGCAUACUUGUAUUCCCAUAAGAAUUUAUAUGUAUGCAUAUUUUUGUUUAUGUGACUAAAAGAAGUGUUUAGGUGUGCUAUAUACUAGCAGCGAUCAGCUAUGUGCGUACGUCUCAAUGUUGUCUGCCUCCUUAUGACUAUAUUGCCCUCUGUCAGGAAAUUCUAAGCCGCCCAGAUCCAGAAGCUGAAGGGGAGUGAAGGAUUCUCCUCCCAAUAGCCCUUCAACAGAAUUCAAUGCUAAACAUAUAUAUACAUAUGUGCAUGUAUUCGAUGCGUAACAUGUCAAUAUUUUAUUGCCUUUGUAUAAAACAAUAAUGUACAGUUUUAAUUAAAUUUUCAUUGUUAAGAUAAAGAG